rnacentral:rRNA from 1 species
UACAGAGGGGGCAAGCGUUGUUCGGAAUUACUGGGCGUAAAGGGCGCGUAGGCGGCCUGUUAAGUCGGACGUGAAAUCCCUCGGCUCAACCGGGGAACUGCGUCCGAUACUGGCGGGCUUGAAUUCGGGAGAGGGAUGUGGAAUUCCAGGUGUAGCGGUGAAUGCGUAGAUAUCUGGAGGAACACCGGUGGCGAAGGCGGCAUCCUGGACCGACAUUGACGCUGAGGCGCGAAAGCCAGGGGAGCAAACAGG